UUGCUCUUUGGGUGGCGAGUGGCGGACGGGUGAGUAAUGUCUGGGAAACUGCCCGAUGGAGGGGGAUAACUACUGGAAACGGUAGCUAAUACCGCAUAACGUCGCAAGACCAAAGUGGGGGACCUUCGGGCCUCACACCAUCGGAUGUGCCCAGAUGGGAUUAGCUAGUAGGUGGGGUAAUGGCUCACCUAGGCGACGAUCCCUAGCUGGUCUGAGAGGAUGACCAGCCACACUGGAACUGAGACACGGUCCAGACUCCUACGGGAGGCAGCAGUGGGGAAUAUUGCACAAUGGGCGCAAGCCUGAUGCAGCCAUGCCGCGUGUAUGAAGAAGGCCUUCGGGUUGUAAAGUACUUUCAGCGGGGAGGAAGGCGGUGAGGUUAAUAACCUUGCCGAUUGACGUUACCCGCAGAAGAAGCACCGGCUAACUCCGUGCCAGCAGCCGCGGUAAUACGGAGGGUGCAAGCGUUAAUCGGAAUUACUGGGCGUAAAGCGCACGCAGGCGGUCUGUUAAGUCAGAUGUGAAAUCCCCGGGCUUAACCUGGGAACUGCAUUUGAAACUGGCAGGCUUGAGUCUCGUAGAGGGGGGUAGAAUUCCAGGUGUAGCGGUGAAAUGCGUAGAGAUC
rnacentral:rRNA from 1 species